GGGCAGAGUGCAGAGCAGACAACAGCAGGAUGGAGUUUUAUGCCUGGUCCAAUGCUCUGAGCCACAAGUUGUGCUUUGCUUUUGGCCCUGUGAACUUUUGCCAGUAUUAGUGGCUGGGAACAAAAGCACCUUAGCUAACAGCAGCCACAGCCAUGCUCCCGACUGUGCUCUAUUUCAACAUUAUUUACUUCUGAGAAGUCCUUUGCAGGCAAACUAUGAUGCCCUGUGAAAGGUAGAUUUGCAUGACCUGAGAGCCAAGAUAGGCAAGAGAACGUUUGCUUCUGUCUGGUUAAAUCAUUAGAAACUCCAGCCUGAAUAAUACAAAUCUCCUUCAGAAUCAAGAACAAAUCAGGAAAAUUCAUCAAGAUGGAUACAGAGUAGUCCCAGAAAUCAGGAGUCAAUUUAUGUCUAGAACUGCAGUAAAGAAAAUUGUGAAGAAACAGAACUACACUGCAAUGAAGAAAUACUUGAAAUAUGUGCGUUAUUCACAGAAAACUGAGCCUGGUUUUGACUUCAGCCCAGAGUAAGCUGAGCAAAACGUUAUUGGAAGCCGUGGAGGUGCGCCAUCAGGUCAUAUUGAAGUAUGGUGUUUCAGGGCCACAGCAGUUCACGGGAAGGGACUGUGAAAGGAAGGAGGGCAGAGAAUUCCCACCGGUGGAGCAGCUGAUGUCACCAAAGAUUCAUGAGCACUUUCACUUUCUCAGUGCUGCUACAGUUCCCUUACACAAUAUCAAGGGAAAUUGUUUUUCAAAUAAGAACAGCAGCCUGCAAACAGACCUACAAGGCACCGGGAACUUUGAAGGACCUCAAAAGCCAUGAGUGAUGAUUCUCUUUGGAUGCCUGGCUCAGUUUAACCCACUCACCUGUGUAUUGCAGCACUGCACACACUGGAAAAAGAAGCGUAGAUGUCUGUGCCAUAAACACGGUAUUUUACAUCUUGACAUCCUGGAGGGCAUUUUGCGAUGAAUUCUGGAUUUAUUAUCUUCCCAGCCUUGACAUCGCAGUCAAUCUGAGGAUGUGUAUGUUCAAGCCCGAGAUUAAGAAGACGUCAGCCCUUCUGAUUUUUCUCUGGGUCUGUUUAUGUGGGUCCUGACUCCUGCCAUCCCUGAGAAUCCUGGCCGGCCUAAAAGACUACAAGCUAAUCACAGGUACCCUCCUUCUCCUGGGCAGUUCCUUCCAUGCUGCUUUUCUCCUCUAUAACAUCCAGAGGAUGUUAUAUGGAGGAAUAUUGGCUUAUCCCUAUGCUCUUUCUUUUUCUUUGUAUUGGAAAGAAUUACAAGUGGGCUGAAUGGAUUGUGCAUGAGCAUCAAAUGGAUAAAAAUUUAGCAGGACAAUGAAUCCAUAAAAGUAUGUAUUUUUACACUGCUAUUCCAAUGAGUUAUAGAGCUUGAGACGUGACGCUUUUGAUCUUGAAUGAAGAAGAAUUCAUAGACUCUAUUUUAAACAAGGCAUAUGAGAAAAUGUAUUGUGAUGAUUUCAUCUUCCUUUUUAUGUUGAUGAAUUCCUCACUUGUAGCAAAAAGUGUUCAUUAUUUGGUGAUUGCUGGGGGAAAUGCUAAGCUGGGUGCUCAUAAUUAAUGAUCAUUAAAAUAAAGCAAAAUGCCCGAUACAUAUCAGAGUAAAAAGUCUGAGAGUGAUAAAAUAUUUGUAUAAAUUAGAGGAAAAACUUUAGGGUCAAAAUUAAGUUGAUGUUCAAAGAAACUGAUAACUUGCUUACAAAUGGCAAGAUUUCCACUAAAGACAAAAUUAUCUUGCUAUCAAAGAAGAAAACACACAGGAUAUUAAAUCCGGAAAUGAUCACAAAAAACAAGUUAUCUGCCUCCUUGAAGAUGAGACAGUGGCAGAUUCCACUUAGAGAUUUGCAUACUCAGAAGAGGGCUUUGUCUGUCCCAGGAGGGAAAGUUAGAAUGACAAUAGAAAUAUGGGAGAUAGGGAGAGAAAUACACAGUCUGUCUUCUUCAUAGGCAGUGUUUCCAUUUUUUUCAUUUUAAUGGCUCUUCCUUUUUCGAGCAAGUCACAUGAUUUUUGAGUGAGAGUGAUGAAAACAGCAUGCUAGACUAAACUGGGUUCAGGCAGCUGUAGACCUUUAUCAUUUAUAACCAUUUUUAUACAGGCCAGCUACAUCUCUGAUUUUUACUUCCAUACUGUGGUCAGGGCCCUCAGAUCUUGGGCUGUCACGUGUGGGAAAGCACAGGAGGAUUUACAUUGCUGGGCAGAUAGUGCCUGGCUUAGGGCUCCAGGGGAGUCUGGUUGCAGUCAUGGUAUCUGGGGCCUAGGGAUCACCUGAUGUAGGUCCUGGAGAUACUGUGUACUAGUAUGGCAUCCACUACUACAGAAUCUUAAAGAGAGGAAAAGUGUGAAGUAAAAUGGUGAUAUUUUGUUUCUCAGGAAAGGAAAGGGAAGCUAGCGCUCUGAUCCUGCAAAUGGACCUGUGCGUGCAACAGGUUCUGUACUCUUUGGAGAUCUAGUGCCAGAUCUGGGGAUGUUUUAUAUGCGGAGAUCAAAAAUGACACUUUGCUGUUAAACCAGAGAUACUGUCCUUUUAUAAAUUUACAAAGUUAAUAGAUCCCAUUAAAACAAAACUAAAAGUUUCUGCUUGGAGUUAGACUAUGCUAUGAUUUUUACUGAGAUUUCUCCUAUUUUACGGUCAUGAGUCUCACUAUUAUGAUUUUUUUAACCCUAUUUUUUAAAAACCUAAAAUAGCCCCUCCAUGCAUGCAACAGUCAAUCUGCCUAGGAAAGACAGAGGUCUGCACAACAAAGUUAUCAUAUGGUUUUACACAUGAAGCAUACAAGAAGUGUCCAAUUCACCUGAUUUUCUUGGUUUUCUUCAUGUACGUCUUGUACUGAUCUUCCCUUUUGCUUCCAGAUCUUAUUUUUGUUUUGAAGAUUAUUUGAACCUUAUAUCUUUCAAAUACGUGCUAUAUAUAAUCCAGUCCACCCUCUGAGAAAUAACUGAUCACAGAGUCCUCCACUGAGGUUACCACAAAUGUACCAUCAUGUGGUCGCAUGAAUUUCCACAUCGUUGUUCUGCCAUUCUUUUCCUGAUGGCUCCUUACUACAGAAGUAUACCUGGCCAAACCACCUGUCUUCCAGAGAUGUGAUGCAAGGGGCCACAUGGAUAUGACAGAAAAUAAUCACAUGGUAAUUAACCCUACAAAAGCCAAAAUGAGAAAUCUGAUGUGUAAGAGGAGUGUGCCUGUUAUGGCUCCAUAGCCACAACCAAUUCCACCCAAAUCUCAGAUGGUCAGCAAAACAGGGGAAGGAGAAACUUAUCCUGAACCUGGCAUUUUAUCCUUUGAGCUCUGCUGUCUCUGGUGUAAAUUGGAUUUUACAUGUUUUUAUUUUUCCAGCUCCAUGAAAUUCCUGUCAUACACACAAAAUGGGAAAAAAAUGUUCUAAUGGCCAGAGCCCUGUUUCUGUUUGAUAUGUCCACUUGCUGUUGACCCUUUCACUCCCAGCACUGAGAUGCUAAGGUGCCUUUUGAGUUUGUGUCUCAUUAGUGAACCAAAACAAUGGAUGAUCUGGAUGAUAUUUUGUAAGCCCUGAUUCACUGGCAUCUUCCAUCGCUUUUCUCUGACUCUUCAUGAGUGAUAAUGUCAGCUAUGCUUAGCAGAUUUCCAUUAAUUAUUUGCAGGCAGCAAGUCACCAUUUAGCAUUAAAUCUCCUUUGAGUACGUUUCCUCAUCUGUAUCCUCCCAGCUGCCAUAACAUACAUUACUUCUAUACCAGGAAAGCAGUAUAUAUGCAUGAUAUUAACACUGCUAAAAUCCCAGUCAAAUCAAGCACAAAUCCAGCAAGGAGCAUCUCCUUCGGUUUUUUCAAGUAUAAGUACUAUCCUAACCUUUUGAAAUCAGAUUUCUAUUUGAAAAGAUGUUGAUUCCUUUUUCUCCACCACAAAUAUUUGAAAAAGCUGAAUGCCAGGAAAAAGACAGAAUUAGCAAGCCAUUCUUCCAGCACAUGAAGUCAGACUUUUACACUGACCUUUUAUUAUAUCAGCUUGGCUUUUAUAAAGCUCCCCAAGAGCUCUACAAACAGACAGACGGUUUUUUAUCUCUAUAAGCUGUCCUUGUAUGGAAAACUAUACAUUUGAUGAUGGAGUUAAAGGUUUUAAGUCCUUGAUUCUUGGUGUAAGACAAUGCUGUCAGUCACAUGGGCAAACACAAAUUCUUUGCUGCUGUCACGUGCUUUGUCUCUGCAGGCGUAAGCAGUUUAUUUCCUGUAAUCCCCUGUGCUGCAGAAAUUAAUUUCUGUACUCUCUUUGUACCCAAUAGUGUGUGUUAUUGUUCUCCUUCUCAAGGGGCUGCAAUAUAGCAGCAACACUGGUGCUGUUAAAAAAAUAGAAGUGGACUUUGUUUGAAAGAUAUUCAAACAAGGAGCUUGGAGUUAACAGGGCUAUCUUUAAGCACUGUGGGUUGAGUUAAAUAUGUGCUCCUUACAGGAAAAUCAGGUGGGUUUGGUGUAGGUGUGAGUACCCUGGUUCAGAUAAACAAGAGCUGAUCAUCAUCUUAGAGGGUAAAAGAUUUUGGAUUUUUUUUUUAUUCUUUUUUUUUUUUUUUUUUAAUUGUAUUUCACUCUUUCUUUGUUUCAUGCUAUCCCCUAGCUCACCAGUAGAAUAGCUGUGUGUUUUGGUGAAAAUUAGGUAAAUGGGCUAAUACCUACAAUGUUGUUUCCCCUCCUUUCUUCUCAGAGGGAAAUAGCAAGAUGGUCUACAGUGGUCAUCUCCACUAUGGGUGAUCACACCCUCAUAGCAGGGUGGUGUUUGCUGCUGUUCCUGCUUGGUGUUUAGGCCUUUUGCUUCAGAGAUGGGAGCAAGGUCUUGAACCCUGCUCUGUUGCCUGAAGAAGUGCUGGUUUCCCCCAUGUUUUUACACGGAGGUACAUGUUGGCUCUGUUUUUCAAAUACAUUUAGCUGACUGGCUUGUGGCUGUGUGUCUGGGACUGUAAGAGCUGUGAAGGUGCCAAAGGAACCUUGCUGCAGCCGUGUGGCUGGGACAUUCACAUCCUGGGAAGGAGGAUGGAGUGUCCUGGGACCUUCCUUCACCCAGAGGCUCUGCUUCUGCUCUGCUCCCAGAAAAGCAAGCAGGCAAACACCAUGAUAGGCUCCUUCUCACUUGCUGUCUUUUUGAUCCCAUAUUUCUAGUAUGGCUAGAUGUGGCUAGUAUGGGGUCCUGCUUUAUAGCAGUGAAUGAGAAAUAUCCUAAUCUUUCAUGCUCUGGAGCCUGAUGAUGGGGAUGAAUUUGGUGACAGAAAAGUGGGCUGAAAAUCUCUGAGGUUGUAGGGAGCUCUGAAUACAGUUCUUCCUGAUCAAGAGUCAUCACAACUUGCCUCCCAUUAUAGAUGCUUUGAUUGACUGCUGUGUCAUACUUUAAGUGGCGCCUGAUCUGCCCUAUGAGGUCCCCAUCUUAGAAGAGAGCUAGCAAGGCUGCUGGCACCCAGUACCCACUGGGUUGCUGCAGUCAGCUGUCCCAGUGCUAAGUUGCACUUUGGACCCACAAAUCCCUUUUUUUCCUUUUUCUUUUUUUCUUUCACAGCCACUUCAAGAAAUGUUUAUGUGCAGAUUUUCUAGAGGAAUUUAGUAUGAAAUAGCCCCAGUCAGGCAGGUAUAAUGAAAAGAUGCUAUACCCAGCAAUUUACAGCUAAAUAAAAACACCCAAGCAGCACUGUGCUACUCGUUUUAUAUUCAUGCAAAGAUCUGAAAUUAAACCAAGGUUGAAGUAACAGCGAUGAAUGCUUUCUCUGCUUUCCACAGAGGUCUUGCAGAAGAAGGUAAUUUAUUUAAAACUAUAGUGUGAUUUAACUUGCCAGACCUUUCUCAGGGCCUAAAUAAAACUGUAGUGAUUAUACUUUCUCAUCUGUCUCACAGAAGUAACCACCAAUUACACUGGUCUGGCCUGUCCCUCCCAGCACAGGAAGAAAUACAUUUAGGAUAUAGCACCCACUCAGAGAAAGCAUAACUUGGAAUAUCCAGACAGCUAUUUCUAUGACGGCCAUUACACUGUGCUUCCCUGUUUUCUGCUAAAUCAUCAUAUGUUACUUUUUUUCAUUUGGAUGCACAGCUUUCCUGGUUCAUUGGGAAUUGCUGUUACAUGCAACCUGUGAAUCCCUGUCCAGACAAGUACCUUUGUUUGCCUGUCUCUCACAGCUCUUGUGUCUCAUGUAUGUGUCCCCAUUUCCCCUAGGCUUGAUCCCUUCUCCCUCUGUGCACUGGAACUUGCUCACUGUUGGAGGCAACCUCUUUCCCUUUACUAAUGUAAUGACUUCUGCUUAACACUAGCCAGGCCCCAGAUAGGUUCCUUGCACUGCUGUGUUCCAAAGAAACUGAGAGCAAAGAGGUGAGAAAAAUCUGCAAUCCAGUAGGACCUGAGGGCUGCGCUGGGUACAAAGCAUAAGAUUUAUGGCUACAUUUCCUUUGCUCUUUGUAAAACACAGUUUUCUAUUUUCAACAAAACGCUUAAUUCUAAAAAGUCAAAGGGACAUUUUAAAGUAUAGUACAUGGUUUCUCAGGUUGGAUGCACAAUUAAAAAAAAAAAAGCACUGAAUAACUGUGCUAUUGUGCUGCCUGCAAACUAAGAAUUAUUGCAGUGUGUCAGAAUUCCCCCGAAGGUACAUAUUUGGUCUAAAAGUGAAGAAUUUGUGAGGAAGGCACUGAAGAAACUGCACAUCACUCUGGGGAUGGCUUUUGAAAUUUUUGUGGCAUGUUCAGACAAAGCUUAACAUCUUUUUGUAUGGUAAAAACUUAGAAGCAGAAAUUUAGAGAAACAUUAGUAUGUUUAUGUUCUGCUUAUUAAAGGUACAUGUAUCCCUUUGCUACAAAGGUGAGUUAUAUGUCUAGGCUGAAAGCAAAACUGAUCCUUAAGCAUGCUGAUAAAUUUAUACAUCAUCUUACAGAAAAAUAGAAUGGAAGCUGUAUUAGUUUAGUCUGUACAACUAUUGCUGCCUCAUGCCAAAGCCAUGGACUGCUUGGAUAACAAUUCACAAUACAUGUGCAGCUAAAAAAACUACCUGGAGCUAUUCUGGCAUGGAACAUUGGUUGAAAAAAGCAGUUAGUGGUUGAACUGAAUUGAUUGAUGGUGACUUGAUCAAGGAAAUCAAAAUAUCUUCAGGAAAUCAGGAAGCGUUAGGAAAACUGCAGAAAUCAUUUUGGAAAGCUAAGCUGCUUCUAUGCUGGCAACCGCCCCCGGCCAUGCCCUGCAGGCACAGCUCACCCCUCCUGAACCCCCUUCCAUAGGCAUAAAGGGGCCACCGACAUGCUCAGAGGAGGUGCAUGAGCUGUUGAAGUAGCCAGAUGCAAAAGGAUUGUUGGUGGAUCUCCCACAGGCUCAUGUCCUCCAGAUCUGGGCCACAAGCAGCUCCACAGGUCACUUGCUAGCUUGUGCUUUCUUAUUCUCCUCACAGAAGAUGGCAAAAGUUAGUUCUUAGUCUUUGAGCUGAGUCUGCCCAUACUUCUGUGGACAAGUUUGGUCUUCUGUUGCAUGUAUUUCACCUGAUCUGCAGAGAGAUCUUAAGGCUUGAAUGUCUGACCCCUCUCCUUCUCAUGAGUUCAAGGUGAGUCCUGCUUCUCAAGGGCUUACAGUGCAAGGCUGCGGUGCCAGUGGAGCCUUAUUCCUUGCACUGCACCAGGCUGACCUUCUCAGCAAGCAGUCACCGCCACUUUGUUUUUUUACAGGCAGUGUCGGUUGUAUUCAUCUCUCUGGUGUCAGCAUGUAGCCCACCUGUAGUCCAGCAGGCAUGUUCAAUCUGAGAACUAUCACUAGAUGUGGACAGGGAGCCAGUGGAAAACUAUACUCCUGUGAGUAUUGUUUCCAAUUGUAAUGGCUCAAGAACACAUCUUUAUAAAUGAGGAUGUUAUGGGUAGUACUGGAUCUCUGAAAAGGUGCUGCUGGUCGCAGACUUGACACCUGUAUAGUAACUGUUGAGUCACGGCCUGAACCACUGAUUGAGCACCUGGGGAAAGGACCCAGUCAGCCCUGGGAACACAGGUGAAGACAAUUCACCCAUUUGACCAGAAGGGCUGGAGCCUGACUGCACCUCUCUUAGACCUCACUUAAGGGCUGACUGCCAGUGCAGAAGGAUCUCUAGUUAGAGAUCCCUCCCUUGUGAAGCUUUCCCUGUAAGCCUAGAUUUUCAGAGGCAGGUGAGCACUUUCCCUUUUUCUUUGUAACGGCUUUCCACUGUGCUAGUCCCUUUGUUGUUGCACCUCCUGUAUUGCUAUUCUGCCACAUUGAUCUUUCUGACUGUUACAACUAUGUGCAGGUAAAGCUGUGCAGCCUCAUGGUAUGCAUGUUGGUAGCCCAUGGCAGAUGGUGGGUAUGGGCUCUUUAGCAUACCGUCAUGCAGACAAUGUGAUGUGCUUUUGCUUCUAAAACUGUAUCCCCUAAUGCCUAAAAGCCCUGGAGGCACUUGAAGAGCUAAAGGUGGUGGUGGCAGGGAGCAGUGCCUUCAGAGCCUCUCAUGGAUACUGUGACAGUGGAGGUGGAGCCAAAGUUGUUGAGAAGUACUUUUCAAGUCCAGGCUGAUAUUUGCUUACCAAUUCUGCCAAAUAGAAGUUUUUUAAACCUGCAGUUUCAACACAGAGAUGAAUCAUGGGGUUCUGUUUCUGAGAAUCCAAGAUCAAGAAGGAAAACUGUGCUUAUUGCAUGAACUAGGAACAAUCUGAUAAUCACACGGCAGGAAGUUGUAAUUUAUGGUCAAAGCUCUGUUUGAAAACCAAAACAGAGCCUUUAUAUCUCCAUAUUACAUAAUAGAUUUCCACACUUAAGAAGUUUGUUCUGACCUUUGGCUCGAAGAAAUUACCGUAUGAGCUUUUGCUUCUAGUUAUUGCCUAACUUCUGUAUUUCUUUUGAUGCACAAAUUUCACCAAUGUGAAUAGAAUCAGAGAAGAUGUAGACUAUGGAAGCUAGUCUGAGAUUCCACAUCCAAAAUUACCUUAUAUUUUGCGAGGCAGUUUGGUAGACAGACUGUCGCCAAAGCAGGGUGAAAGAAAACCUGUCUGACCUGGGCAUACUUGAAGAAAAGAGCAGGUAUCUACAUUCAUUCCUGGUAGAUUCAUGGAUGCGUGUUUGAUACCUAUAUUUGACCUUGCAAGUGGUUCUUGCAAGGUCAAAUAUUCCAAAUAAUUCCAGUGCAAUUACUCUAAUCUUUAUAACCGUUUCCCU